rnacentral:rRNA from 1 species
CCUACGGGUGGCUGCAGUGGGGAAUUUUGGACAAUGGGCGCAAGCCUGAUCCAGCCAUUCCGCGUGAGUGAAGAAGGCCUUCGGGUUGUAAAGCUCUUUCGCAAGGGAAGAAAACUUAUCCUCUAACAUAGGAUGAGGUUGACGGUACCUUGAUAAGAAGCACCGGCUAACUACGUGCCAGCAGCCGCGGUAAUACGUAGGGUAUUAGCGUGAAUCGGGCGUGCGGAGCGUGUAUCGUGCGCAGGAUGUUAAAGCCCCGAGCUCAACUUGGGAACUGCGUUUGAAACUACAAGACUAGAAUAGGGCAGAGGGGGGUAGAAUUCCACGUGUAGCAGUGAAAUGCGUAGAGAUGUGGAGGAAUAUCAAUGGCGAAGGCAGCUCCCUGGGAUCAUAUUGACGCUCAUGCACGAAAGCGUGGGGAGCAAACAGGAUUAGAUACCCCGGUAGUC